rnacentral:rRNA from 1 species
CCUACGGGAGGCAGCAGUGGGGAAUCUUGCGCAAUGGGCGAAAGCCUGACGCAGCCAUGCCGCGUGAAUGAUGAAGGUCUUAGGAUUGUAAAAUUCUUUCACCGGGGACGAUAAUGACGGUACCCGGAGAAGAAGCCCCGGCUAACUUCGUGCCAGCAGCCGCGGUAAUACGAAGGGGGCUAGCGUUGCUCGGAAUUACUGGGCGUAAAGGGAGCGUAGGCGGAUAGUUUAGUCAGAGGUGAAAGCCCAGGGCUCAACCUUGGAAUUGCCUUUGAUACUGGCUAUCUUGAGUGUGGGAGAGGUAUGUGGAACUCCGAGUGUAGAGGUGAAAUUCGUAGAUAUUCGGAAGAACACCAGUGGCGAAGGCGACAUACUGGCCCAUUACUGACGCUGAGGCUCGAAAGCGUGGGGAGCAAACAGGAUUAGAUACCCUGGUAGUCCACGCUGUAAACGAUGAGUGCUAGUUGUCGGCAUGCAUGCAUGUCGGUGACGCAGCUACGACAUAAGACACNCCGCCGUGGGAGGUACGGUCGCGAAGAGUUAAACGUUACGAAAGUAAGUUAGAGGCGNGAGACGNGCCGACGGACGACGACGAGGGAGGAGG